CAAAGAGAGAAAGGAAAGCCAGUUCCAAGCCUUUUCCUUCAGCUUCUGCCACCUUUUGCUUCCCGCUGGACCAUGAAGUAUUGAACAGGCAUUUUCCAGAAGUCAAACAGCGUGUUAGUUCAAGCACAAUCAGACAGCAGUGACAUCUACAGCAUAUGCAGCAGGGAGCUCGGCGCUGAGAUCGCUCGGGCUCCAGCACGGGUUUUAUGUCACGAUCAGAAACGGGCAGCGCUCUUCGCAAGAGCUAUAUAAAUCCAGCCCCGAUGUUCGGCCGUGCAUCUCCUUCCCUUGCCGAGGAUGUUAAACAGGAGGUCUCCUUUCCCCCCGGCUCGGACACACCGGAGGGUCCCCCCGAUCGUCACUGCUCGCCUCCCGCCCGGGCUCGGGUGCUGGUUUACCGUGUGCCUGGCUGUAGGAGACUCUGGCCCGGGCAUGGGCAGAAUUGGCGUAGUAGGGAUUGCCCUGGGAGUCCAGGUGGUUGAAGAAGACAUCGACUUCAUCCGGAGGUAGGAGCUGCGCUGGUUCCAUGUAGUUGUGAGCCAGUCCGGGGUGGUGGCUCUCGGGGUGCUGCCCGUUGAGCACGGCGUGGUGGGCCAUCCAGCGAGGCUGGUCCGUGGCCACCUCCAUGGCCGCGGGCCUCCCCUCCCACCCAGCCCCGGAGCAGGAGCGGGCCGGUGCUGCUCGGGGGAGGGGGGGGCUGGCGCUGCUGGUGGGGUUUAGGAGGUGGGGUGGCUUUUCUUAAGAAGACGGCCGUGUGGCUGGCGUGGGCCCUGGGAAGGGUGGGGGAGCCCCCUGGAGUCACCGUGUCCCUCCUCUGUCCAGGCGGGCGGUGGCAGGUCCGGGCAGCACCUGUAGGGACAGACGGACGGGUGAGGGGCUCUGGAGCGCUGCACCGGGCGAUACAUGGAUGGGGAGGGAGAAGCAGAGCCCCUCCCCCCUUCCAAAAAUAUCCUCUCCCCCAAAGUCUCGCCUUGCGCCCUCCCUGCUCAUUGCCCCACAGAAUAAACAGAGAUCCCAUUUCAAACUCUUUACCCAAAAAAAAGAAAAAGCAAAAAGCUUCCUUCCCCCCCCCCACCCCCGCUCUCGCUACAAACGUCAACAGGAGUUUUCCCAGCUGGCUUCAAAAGCGGGGUGAAAAAGGAAGAAAGGCAGAUCCAAUACAGAGUAGUGCUAGCAAGAACUGGGACUGACACAAAAGGAAAAGGAGGGGGAGAAAGAAGGGGGGAGAAGGCGAAGAGGAGGGAGGAGAAGGGUGUUUAGUGAAAGCAGCGAGUGCGCCCUGGCAGCGGCCCCCCCGCGCCCCGCACUUACCGGCUGGCGGUGGGAGCCGGCGUUGAGACCGCGAGUGCGGCGGAGAGGGGAGGAAGGAGGGGAAAAAAGGGGGGAGGGGGGGGAAUUAAAAAUAAUAGAAGCCCCAAGCGCGGGGGGAGCGGAGGAGGCUGCUGCAGGGUGUUACUCAGAUGGCAAAGCCGCUGCUCUGGCCGGCGCGGUCCCAUCCCCGCGCAUCCUAUAUGAGCGCUGGCGCCAGCUGGCCGCGGCGCCGCAGACGGGCCGGGGCGCGCAGGGCCGGCGGGGCGGCCGGGACAGCCAAUCCCGGCAGCCGAUCCCGCCGAUCCCGCCGCCCCACACCGCCCCCAGCCGCACCCCCGGCCCGAACGGAGCCGGCCCGGGGAGGGGGGAGCAGCGCGUACCCCCCUCCUCCGCCCCCCGCCCCCCCGCAGCAUCCUCCGGCAGCGCCGAGGGGGCUUUCCCUGCCCGGGCGCUGCACGCCCCUGCGGGGCGGGGACGGAGAAAUGGGGGGGUCCCGCCGGGGUGUGCGGGGAUGCAGAGGGGCAUGGGCCCACCCUGUGGUGGAGGGGAACCGGGGCGGGCGAUGGGGCCGGCUCCGCCGGGUGCUGUCCCCGACGGUGGCUCCCAGCGCCGCCGCCGGGAUGCCCGGGGCGAGGGGGUUGGAAGUCGGCACCGGGGAGAUGAACACGUUAAAAUUCCCUUAAAGCAAGCUCAGCAGCGCGCAGCCGGGAGCGAGACUAACCCCAGCGUGGUUGUUCCCAUCAUGUUAGUUUGAAAUAACUGUCUGAAUCGGAAUAUAAAUAAAUUAAAACCAAAUAAUUGCGCGGCUCAGCGGAGCCCGGCAGGGUGAGGAGGGGCAGCGGGGCCGCGCCGGGCAGGCGGCGGCGAAGGGACGGGUCCUGCCCGGCUCCCUCUCGACUCCCCGGGCGGCAGCGCUGGGGCCGGGCCCAGCUGGGGCUCGCUGGAGGCUGCGGCAGCGGGAAGCCGAGCCGGGCCGGGGUCCGGCUGCGGCCUCCCCGAGGGUCUGCGGCACCGCAACCCCGCGUGCUUCCCUUCUCCCCUUAAAAAUAAAAUUAAAUAAAAUUAAAAGAAACAAAAAAAACCAAGAAACCACCACCACCAAAACCCUCCAAAGACACAGUUUUAAUAUUCGCAGUUACUCGUGAGCCGGGGCAGAGGCACAGCCCGGAUCAACAGGCGUUUUCCGCGGAGUUCGCGGCGCAGCUCGGGCUCUGCCACCCCCGAAGAUGCGGACAAACCCAUCCGCUUUGGGGUUGGAAAAUAAUAAUAAUAAUAAUGAUAAUAAUAACAAUGAGAAAGUCAGAGAUUGCCCGCGCCCCGGAGCGCGGCCGCGCGCUGUGCGGGUCCCGUUCCCCGGCGCUGCCCUCCCGCGCCUCCGCCGCCGCUUUCGGGGAAAAAGGGAACCGCUCGUCCCGACCCCGUAAAGCUCGGAGCUGGACUCGGGUCGAGGAAACUGCCCUUCGCCCGGGAGCGGGCAGGGGGGAGCCGAGCGCGGCCCCUCCGCCCCCCGGCAGCGGCUCCAGCCCGACGGUGCGACCGGGGAGGGGGCGCGGGAGCCGGUCGGGGCCGGGCCGGGGCCCAGCGGGGUGGCGAGGAGGAGGAGGAGGAUGGUGCCGGUGCUGCCCCGGCCGCCCCAGUCACCACGACGCCGGGGCUCUGACGUCACCCGUCACUGCCAAAUUCGCCAGGAAAUGAACUUUUUUUUUCUUUUUAAUAAUAACAAUAAUAAUAAUAAUGAUGACGGUAAUAAUAAUAAAACUCCCUUUCCUUGCUGCGGAGCCCGUCUGGCCGAAGCGACGCGGGGCUCCCUCCAUAGCUAUUCCCCCACCACCAUUACCCGUUGUCCCCAGCAAACCUCCCCCCGGGGCACCCUCAGCGCAGCCCCCGGUGUGGCGACCGGCAGCGCGGCCCGGGCUGGGGUCUGCGGAGGCUGGGGCAGGGGGAGCCGGCAUUGCUUUCCCCCUCCCCGCAUCCUUUCCUCCUGCACCCGAAGCGCCGGGCUCCCCGCGGCCCUUGCCCUCGUGGCUCGGCGGUGCCCCUCGCCCCCCGCCGCUGGGGGGGUGCCAAGCGGCGGCCCCGGGCGGCAGCUCCUCCGUUGGCUGCCGGGCGCGGAAGAGGCGGCGGAGCCGGCUUCUCUCGGGCCGGGCUGGGUGGCCAGGGCAGGCCGGGGCUGGGGGGUGCCCGGGCACCCAGGGCCGGAGGUGCCAGGGAGGAAAGGGAAACAAAGCAAAUAAAAAAAAAAAAAAAAAAGAAAGAAAAAGGAAAGUUAAAAGACAGCGAGAGAACCCGGGAGCUUUCGAAAAAUCCGGCUUCACCCUCAGAAGCGAUUUUCUCUCUACACGCACCAAAACCACCACCCCCAACCGACCCAAAUAUCCCCCCAAACGGAUUGUAUUCUUUUUUAUUUUCCGAAGGAAGGGUGAGUAUAAACUGAACGCGGCCGGUUGCAGGUCGGUCCCCUCGGCGCCUCGUUGUCCCCGCAGCCCGGGGGCUGCCGGAGCCGGGGCGCGCCGUGCCUGCGAUCCCUCCUGGAACAGCCGGGAUAACCCCGGAUCACUCCGGGCCCGGCCGGAGAGGACCCAGCGCCUCUCUACGCCCUUAUUAAUCAAUAUGGCUGUUUAAUUACUGCCCGCUGCCACCAGCACGGGGCCACGCUAGCUUUUUUCUUGGGGGGGGGGGAAACGGGGUGGGCUGUUUGUUUUAGGCAGGUGAUAAAAUCGCAGUUAACGAGCUGAUAAUUCGUUCGUGUUUGUUUUAAAAGACAAAUUGUAAAGAUUAAUCAGGCGGUUUGAUUUAUGGCGAGGCAGACCCCGGCGCUGCCCGGCCGGGGCUCCCUGAAGCCCCCGUCUCGGGUUACCGGGGGCCGAAGCGAAACAAAAGGGGCGAACAAGCGGCGGCGGCGGCUCCUGGGGCCGGGUCCCCCCAUCCCCUGGCCGGGAUCCGACACCCCUUCUCACACCCCCCUCCCUCUCUAUACCCCUUUGUAACUGGACGACCCCUUCAUCAGGGAUGAACGAUUUCAGCUGAGGGAGCGGUUGAAUGCCCGCGGGAGGUUUCCCUCCAGCCGCCUCCCAGGAUUUCACUUGAUUUUAUUUGGCUGAUUUUAUCCCGGCCCCGCUGCCUGCGUUUGGCGAACUGGCCGCCGCUGCGGGCUCGGCCGCUAAUGCCCCGGCGGCGGCAGGGCUGGCGGUUAAUUGAAUUAAUUCCCCAUCGGGAGCAGCAGCAGCUCCGCACUCGCGUCCCGGUGAGCAGCUCCCCCGCAACCCUCUGGGGAGGGAGAGGGUCCGGCCAUUAACUCCGGUUUAUUAACUUCAUUUUGUUAUUCCCGUUGCAUUUCUUUUUUCUGUUUUAAUCAGGAGCUUUCCCAGCUCUGGAAGCACAACUGGUUAUUUUGAUUUGAUUGACAAGUGAUGUCAUAUCGUUAAGGGAGAGGGGGGAGAAGACAACAUGUUUUAGCAACAGUUAGGAGCGCCGUGUGAUGGAGUUGACACCUACGCCGGGGCAGAGGCGAAGGCAGAACCCCUCUUCCCCCGUCCACGCAUACGGAUCUUUCGGGCUAUGCACCUGCACGUAGGAGAGGCAGCGGAGAAGCUGGAAGAGGCGCAAACAGAUAUUUCGCGACGAGUCGUUGUUGUAGCUAGGAAAGAAACGGUAAAACACACAUAGGAAAAACAGCUAGAACGAAUGGUUUUGGAAACGUUUGCGCGCCCCAGCCCCAGCUCGGCAGUCUUCACCUGACGGGUAUUUUGCUUCUGGAAGAGGGAGACGUUGCCGCCAGCCGCGCCCUGGGAUCGCCCCUGCUCGGAACGACUCUAAACUGAGGGACCGUCUCUCGGGCAGAAAAACUACUGGAAAAGC